rnacentral:rRNA from 1 species
GUGCUUAACACAUGCAAGUCGAACGGAAAGGCCCUGCUUUUGUGGGGUGCUCGAGUGGCGAACGGGUGAGUAACACGUGAGUAACCUGCCCUUGACUUUGGGAUAACUUCAGGAAACCGGGGCUAAUACCGGAUAGGAGCUCCUGCUGCAUGGUGGGGGUUGGAAAGUUUCGGCGGUUGGGGAUGGACUCGCGGCUUAUCAGCUUGUUGGUGGGGUAGUGGCUUACCAAGGCUUUGACGGGUAGCCGGCCUGAGAGGGUGACCGGCCACAUUGGGACUGAGAUACGGCCCAGACUCCUACGGGAGGCAGCAGUGGGGAAUAUUGCACAAUGGGCGGAAGCCUGAUGCAGCAACGCCGCGUGCGGGAUGACGGCCUUCGGGUUGUAAACCGCUUUCGCCUGUGACGAAGCGUGAGUGACGGUAAUGGGUAAAGAAGCACCGGCUAACUACGUGCCAGCAGCCGCGGUGAUACGUAGGGUGCGAGCGUUGUCCGGAUUUAUUGGGCGUAAAGGGCUCGUAGGUGGUUGAUCGCGUCGGAAGUGUAAUCUUGGGGCUUAACCCUGAGCGUGCUUUCGAUACGGGUUGACUUGAGGAAGGUAGGGUAGAAUGGAAUUUCCUGGUGGAGCGGUGGAAUGCGCAGAUAUCAGGAGGAACACCAGUGGCGAAGGCGGUUCUCUGGGCCUUUCCUGACGCUGAGGAGCGAAAGCAUGGGGAGCGAACAGGCUUAGAUACCCUGGUAGUCCACGCUGUAAACGGUGGGUACUAGGUGUGGGGUCCAUUCCACGGGUUCCGUGCCGUAGCUAACGCUUUAAGUACCCCGCCUGGGGAGUACGGCCGCAAGGCUAAAACUCAAAGGAAUUGACGGGGCCCCGCACAAGCGGCGGAGCAUGCGGAUUAAUUCGAUGCAACGCGUAGAACCUUACCUGGGUUUGACAUGGAUCGGGAGUGCUCAGAGAUGGGUGUGCCUCUUUUGGGGUCGGUUCACAGGUGGUGCAUGGCUGUCGUCAGCUCGUGUCGUGAGAUGUUGGGUUAAGUCCCGCAACGAGCGCAACCCUUGUUCACUGUUGCCAGCACGUUAUGGUGGGGACUCAGUGGAGACCGCCGGGGUCAACUCGGAGGAAGGUGGGGAUGACGUCAAGUCAUCAUGCCCCUUAUGUCCAGGGCUUCACGCAUGCUACAAUGGCUGGUACAGAGAGUGGCGAGCCUGUGAGGGUGAGCGAAUCUCGGAAAGCCGGUCUCAGUUCGGAUUGGGGUCUGCAACUCGACCUCAUGAAGUCGGAGUCGCUAGUAAUCGCAGAUCAGCAACGCUGCGGUGAAUACGUUCCCGGGGCUUGUACACACCGCCCGUCAAGUCAUGAAAGUUGGUAACACCCGAAGCCGGUGGCCUAACCGUUGUGGGGGAGCCGUCGAAGGUGGGACUGGUGAUUAGGACUAAGU